UAAUACGUAGGACGCGAGCGUUAUCCGGAUUCACUGGGCGUAAAGCGCCUGCAGGCGGUUUCGUAAGUUGGGUGUGAAAGCCCCAGGCUUAACCUGGGGAGGCCAUUCAAUACUGCGGAGCUUGAGGACGGGAGAGGGAAGCGGAAUUCCCGGUGUAGCGGUAAAAUGCGCAGAUAUCGGGAGGAACACCAGUGGCGAAGGCGGCUUCCUGGCCCGUUCCUGACGCUCGGAGGCGAAAGCUAGGGGAGCAAACAGGAUUAGAGACCCUGGUAGUCCUAGCCCUAAACAAUGGAUGCUGGGUGUGGGGGUGAAUAGCCUCUGUGCCGAAGCUAACGCGUUAAGCAUCCCGCCUGGGGACUACGGCCGCAAGGUUAAAACUCAAACGAAUUGACGGGGCCCCGCAC
rnacentral:rRNA from 1 species